AAGUCGCCUCCACACCUUUCCGUUUCUUUUUCCUCCGUCAGGACUCAGUCCAUACGUUAACCGGAAGUGGACAGCGCUGAAAUGGCCACUCCCUCACCCCCCUCCCGCCCCCUCUUUAAUUAAACCUUCGGAUAAGGUUUUAACACCCCCUUCAAAGGUUUUUUAGAACCCUUUUGAGGGUAAGGUGCUUGGUAACCCUUUGUGAUGCCUUAGUUUUUUGUAGUGCUUUCUGCUUUGAUUUGAGUGUAUGGUGCUGACGUGUGGGAAAACAAAGAAUUGGUCAAUGAUUGUACAUGGACCUAUUUUGACGACCGGUCUGGCCUAGUAGGUAGUGACCCUGCCUGUGAAGCCGAUGGUUCUGGGUUCGAAUCCCAGUAAGGGCAUUUAUUUGUGUCAUGACAUAGAUAUUUGUUCCUGAGUCAUGGUUGUUUUCUAUAUAUUUAAGUAUUUAUAUAUUACAUAUAUCGUUGACUGAGUACCCACAACACAAGCCUUCUUGAGCUUACUGUGGGACUUAGUCAAUCUGUGUAAGAAUGUCCUAUAAUAUUUAUUUAUUUAUUAUUUAUUUAA